AUUCUGCACUCUGGGAGCCAUACAGGGUUGGUGGUACCCUAGUUCACCUUCCAGAGUUCCAGAAAGAGUAUUUUCCAGAAGAAGCUGAAGCAUAACUGCCUCAAUCGCAGCAAUUUGUGUGCCGCUUUCUUCCAUAUUUCUUGACCACCGAUGAUGGUGAGUAAACCAUGUACUUACCUAUCAGUAAUAGAAGCUCUGCAAUUGGGAUACUGGUUAAUAGACAGGUUGGUUUCUGUUGGACACUAAGAAUUGCUACUAAU